rnacentral:siRNA from 1 species
UAUCUCCUACACUAUAGUGUCCCU